rnacentral:rRNA from 1 species
AGUGAACGCUGGCGGUAGGCCUAACACAUGCAAGUCGAACGGCAGCACAGUAAGAGCUUGCUCUUACGGGUGGCGAGUGGCGGACGGGUGAGGAAUACAUCGGACUCUACUUUUUCGUGGGGGAUAACGUAGGGAAACUUACGCUAAUACCGCAUACGACCUACGGGUGAAAGCAGGUGAUCUUCGGACCUUGCGCGAUUGAAUGAGCCGAUGUCGGAUUAGCUAGUUGGCGGGGUAAAGGCCCACCAAGGCGACGAUCCGUAGCUGGUCUGAGAGGAUGAUCAGCCACACUGGAACUGAGACACGGUCCAGACUCCUACGGGAGGCAGCAGUGGGGAAUAUUGGACAAUGGGCGCAAGCCUGAUCCAGCCAUACCGCGUGGGUGAAGAAGGCCUUCGGGUUGUAAAGCCCUAUUGUUGGGAAAGAAAAGCAGCAGGUUAAUACCCCGCUGUUCUGACGGUACCCAAAGAAUAAGCACCGGCUAACUUCGUG